rnacentral:snRNA from 1 species
CUGGUCGGAUGCGGAACGG